rnacentral:lncRNA from 1 species
GUCUGAAGUGGGGAGCGGAGAGAGAGGCAGGUCUAGAUGCAGAUGGUCUGUUUCCCCUAACAACAGCAACGGCGGCGAGGAGAAAUCCUGGUCUCCGCCAGCUCCCGGCCAGACUCGUAAUCAGGCCACUAACGACAGCGGGGAGCGUAAAAGUUCUCUUCCCUACCCACCUCGCGUGAUGCGGUGACACAGAAUGAAAUUCACAACACACAUGGAGAAAAGGAAAACAACCAAUCCUUCCCCAGAACGGAACAGCUAAGAGCCAACGCUACUGAAAACCAUGGGGCAGGCAUCUCCACCGAGUGCAGGGAAGAGGCCAGGAGAAGACCCAGGAAAUAAAUUUAAAAAGGGACAGCCUUUGAGCUGGUCCCUGACCGGUGAGCAAGACUUAGCUGUUCAGGAAAGCUGUGUGGCUGGAGCAGAGAAUAUACUGGAAAUCAGAGAGGUCAAAAACAAUGAGCAGGAGAUAUCGGAAGAAAUGUUCCUAACCACUUCACUCUUCCAAAGCCUUCACCCAUCUCUGGUGAAUAUAUCUAGGUCCAGCAGGGUCUCAGAAGCAGAUGCCAACCUGAGGGGAAUAUUUACCAGAUGACGUGAAGGCCGUGGAAAAAGAAGAAAUUGGAAAAUUCAUUAUUUAAGUGUGCCAGGCUCAGCUCAAAUUAGCAAGUGAUGAUAAAUUCCUGGAGGCCUAGAACUCCGUGUUCUUCAUCUCCCAGUACAGUGCCUUUCGACAUAAAUAGAUGGUUGCUGAACUCCCCUCAAAGAGACAGGUACCUGUGGGCUGCAUCACCACCAGCGAACCCAGCAGACAGCACAGAUGCCUGCAUUCAGCUAGGUAGGAAACUAACCAUGUAAGCAGUGAAAAGCAUGUCAAGACAGCUAGGAAAAACCAUUAAAGUGAGUGGUAAACUGUUGAAAGGCUAACGUGAAUCACUAAACUAGAGAAGCUAGGAGUCAGGAGACCUGAGAACUAACCCUGAUGAUGCCCUUAAAUACCUUCUUUGCUUAAGACAAUUUAAUAUCUUAACCUUUGAGAAAAUAGGAAGCCUAUCACAAGACAGGCAAAAGGAACUUCCCUGCCACUGUCUCCCCUUGUUACCAAAUUAACGAUGGCACCUUACACACAGUCAAUAGUGCCUCAGAACCAAGAAAUCAUUUCUGAUCUUGAACAAUGCAUUUAAUGUCUGUAUGUUAAGAUGACAGCUCCUUGUCACACAGUUUAAUGGUCCAGGCUCACAUAUUUAGGAAACCAGGAUUGAAAAGCCAACUCAAAUGCUAUCAUCAUUAAGUUUUUUUAAAUUAUUAUUAUUUUCUGUAGCUCAGGCUGGAG